rnacentral:rRNA from 1 species
CAAUAGCGUAUAUUUAAGUUGUUGCAGUUAAAAAGCUCGUAGUUGGAUUUCGGGUGGGACGCAGCGGUCUCGCAUUGCGUUUGUACUGCUGCAGCCCUCCUUCAUGCCGGGGGCGGCCUCUCGGACUUCACUGUCUGGGGGUCAGAAUCGGCGAUGUUACUUUGAGUAAAUUAGAGUGUUCAAAGCAAGCUUACGCUCUGAAUAUAAUAGCAUGGGAUAACACGACAGGACUCUGGCCUAUCGUGUUGGUCUAUAGGACCAGAGUAAUGAUUAAGAGGGACAGUCGGGGGCAUUCGUAUUCCGUUGUCAGAGGUGAAAUUCUUGGAUUUACGGAAGACGAACAUCUGCGAAAGCAUUUGCCAAGGAUGUUUUCAUUGA